GACGAACGCUGGCGGCGUGCUUAACACAUGCAAGUCGAACGGAAAGGCCCUGCUUUUGUGGGGUGCUCGAGUGGCGAACGGGUGAGUAACACGUGAGUAACCUGCCCUUGACUUUGGGAUAACUUCAGGAAACUGGGGCUAAUACCGGAUAGGAGCUCCUGCUGCAUGGUGGGGGUUGGAAAGAUUCGGCGGUUGGGGAUGGACUCGCGGCUUAUCAGCUUGUUGGUGGGGUAGUGGCUUACCAAGGCUUUGACGGGUAGCCGGCCUGAGAGGGUGACCGGCCACAUUGGGACUGAGGUACGGCCCAGACUCCUACGGGAGGCAGCAGUGGGGAAUAUUGCACAAUGGGCGGAAGCCUGAUGCAGCAACGCCGCGUGCGGGAUGACGGCCUUCGGGUUGUAAACCGCUUUCGCCUGUGACGAAGCGUGAGUGACGGUAAUGGGUAAAGAAGCACCGGCUAACUACGUG
rnacentral:rRNA from 1 species